GAGGGCGUAGCUCAGAUGGUAGAGAAUGGUAGAGAUGGCUCACUUAGCACGCGAGAGAUACGGGGAUCGAUACCCCGCGCCUCCA